CUGGGCUCAGACUCCAUGAGGGCAGCAGUCAGGGCGGCUGCUUUGCGACAGGCCCGGAGCUCUGUGCGGCAGGGAGAAGCUGGGCCCAGGAGCAGGAAACAGGCUAUUUGCCAAAACUCGGAAGCAUUUUGCCGCAGUUGUGCUGUGAUGCUGGUAAACCAAGUGUCAGCUGAGAACUGACAAACUCACAGCUGGAAGCCAAGCCAAUUCACAAAGUAAAAGAUGCCCCCAAAGAAGCCUUCAAGUGCUCAGUAGAGGAGCAAAAAGCUCAGUUACAAUCUAGUUUGCAGAAAGGGAGAAAUUGGAUGGGAAAAUAUCUGAAACAGAAUGACAUAGACCGGGCAUUGGACAUCGUCCCAGUGCAAAAGAAAUUGAGGAGCGAAGCAUAAAUGAGGAAAGUCCUAUUACUAAGGAAUGAGCAGAUGUAGCUGAAGAUAAGGAAUGCAAAUGUGAGGAAAGUGAUGGAGAAUCAUCCCGUUUUCCUGGCAGAAUAAAGG